CAGAACGAACGCUGGCGGCGUGCCUACACAUGCAAGUCGAGCGAGAAGUCUCCGCAAGGGGGCGAGUAAAGCGGCGCACGGGUGAGUAACACGUGGGCAAUCUACCUUAAGACCGGAACAACCCUCCGAAAGGAAAGGCUAAUACUGGAUAAGACCACGGCGGCUUCGGCUGCUGAGGUAAAAAGACGGCCUCUGUAAACAAGCUGUCACUUAAAGAGGAGCCCGCGGCCCAUCAGCUAGUUGGCGGGUAACGGCCCACCAAGGCAACGACGGGUAGCUGGUCUGAGAGGACGAUCAGCCACACUGGAACUGAGACACGGUCCAGACUCCUACGGGAGGCAGCAGUGGGGAAUUUUGCGCAAUGGGCGAAAGCCUGACGCAGCAACGCCGCGUGAGUGAAUGAAGGUCUUCGGAUCGUAAAGCUCUUUCGGCCGGGACGAAACUCGGUUGGCUAAUAUCCAACCGACUGACUGUACCGGAAGAAGAAGCACCGGCUAACUCUGUGCCAGCCGCAGC
rnacentral:rRNA from 1 species